rnacentral:misc_RNA from 1 species
CCGGGGGCUUGCUCCCGGGUGGUAGGGGUAACACCCUCACGCGCCGCCUGCCUGUACCCUCUUUUUACGAGCACCUUUCGUUCUCCUUCGGCGGGGCAACCUGCCGCUGGAACCAAAACAAAACCUUUUUUGCAUCUAGCAUUACCUGUUCUGAUACAAAUAAUCGUUACAACUUUCAACAAUGGAUCUCUUGGCUCUGGCAUCGAUGAAGAACGCAGCGAAAUGCGAUAAGUAGUGUGAAUUGCAGAAUUCAGUGAAUCAUCGAAUCUUUGAACGCACAUUGCGCCCCUUGGUAUUCCAUGGGGCAUGCCUGUUCGAGCGUCAUCUACACCCUCAAGCUCUGCUUGGUGUUGGGCGUCUGUCCCGCCUCUGCGCGCGGACUCGCCCCAAAUUCAUUGGCAGCGGUCUUUGCCUCCUCUCGCGCAGCACAAUUGCGUCUGCGGGGGGGCGUGGCCCGCGUCCACGAAGCAACAUUACCGUCUUUGACCUCGGAUCAG